rnacentral:rRNA from 1 species
UACGUAGGGUGCAGGCGUUAAUCGGAAUUACUGGGCGUAAAGCGUGCGCAGGCGGUUUGCUAAGACAGGUGUGAAAUCCCCGGGCUUAACCUGGGAACUGCGCUUGUUACUGGCAGGCUUGAGUGUGGCAGAGGGGGGUGGAAUUCCCAGUGUAGCGGUGAAAUGCGUAGAUAUUGGGAGGAACACCAGUGGCGAAGGCGGCUCACUGGACCGGUACUGACGCUGAUGCGCGAAAGCGUGGGGAGCAAACGGG